rnacentral:rRNA from 1 species
CAGUCGCCGCGGGAAAACGUAGGUGGCAAGCGUUGUCCGGAAUUAUUGGGCGUAAAGCGCGCGCAGGCGGAUCAGUCAGUCUGUCUUAAAAGUUCGGGGCUUAACCCCGUGAGGGGAUGGAAACUGCUGAUCUAGAGUAUCGGAGAGGAAAGUGGAAUUCCUAGUGUAGCGGUGAAAUGCGUAGAUAUUAGGAAGAACACCAGUGGCGAAGGAGACUUUCUGGACGAAAACUGACGCUGAGGCGCGAAAGCCAGGGGAGCGAACGGGAUUAGAUACCCGUGUAGUCCCUGUCUCUUAUACU